AUUGAACGCUGGCGGCAUGCUUUACACAUGCAAGUCGCACGGCAGCGCGGGCUUCGGCCUGGCGGCGAGUGGCGAACGGGUGAGUAAUGCAUCGGAACGUGCCCAGUAGUGGGGGAUAGCCCGGCGAAAGCCGGAUUAAUACCGCUUACGACCUGAGGGUUACAUCGGGGGCCCGAAAUGCCUCGCGCUAUUGGAGCGGCCGAUGUCGGAUUAGCUAGUUGGUGGGGUAAAGGCUUACCAAGGCGACGAUCCGUAGCUGGUCUGAGAGGACGACCAGCCACACUGGGACUGAGACACGGCCCAGACUCCUACGGGAGGCAGCAGUGGGGAAUUUUGGACAAUGGGGGCAACGCUGAUCCAGCCAUGCCGCGUGCGGGAAGAAGGCCUUCGGGUUGUAAACCGCUUUUGUUCGGGAAGAAAUCCUCUGGGCUAAUACCCCGGGGGGAUGACGGUACCGGAAGAAUAAGCACCGGCUAACUACGUG
rnacentral:rRNA from 1 species